rnacentral:rRNA from 1 species
GUUCCGUAGCUGAACCUGCGGAGGGAUACUAGUCGAUCAACU